rnacentral:lncRNA from 1 species
UCGUUUCUCCUUCCAAGGUUAUUUCGAAGUUUCUUGAUCCUUUAUAUUUGCAUCAAGGCCAAGAGCAACUCUUGGGCGAGUUUUCUUAUCCGGUUGAUUGAAUUGGGCUAGAUGUGGUUAAAAUGUAAUGCCUAAUUAGAGUAACGGGAUCACGCACCUUCUUUCAGAGGUUUGAGAAAACCAUCUUCAGACGCAUACAGAAAAUGGUAAAAUGGAUCUUGAACGAGAGAAUGAAGUUCUUUACAGACACGCUUGGAAAAACACAGUUAAGUGUUUGGUUUGAUAUACCCGUGGAGGAUUUGACUUGUUCAUAUAGCCUUGUUGAGAUAGGAUAAGGCUGGCCAGAUCCUGCUGGAAUACAGUAUCCCAUUUCCCCUCAAGAUCUCUCUUGUUCUUGCUCCUGAGAAAAAAAAUUAAUGUGAAAUCGAAAAUUUAGCCCUUGAAACCUCAGUUACUGUGGGAAUCAACAGGUUUUUUAUGGUUUCAGCAACUGGGUGUCCGAGUGAAGAGGGAAAAGUAGCUGAAGGUGGAGUUCAAGAUCAGCAUACUAAGAAAUAUCAUAAGGUAUUUUUCCAAUCUGCUGCGAGUGGGCCGUCUUCAGUAAAUAUAUAGGGGGAAUGAAGAACCUCUUUGCUCAUCCGGAGGGGAAUACGAAGGGGAAAUGUUCUCUUUUCUCCAGAAAUCUUGAAGAAAUUAGUUUACCUAUGCAGAAGUUUUACAUUUCGGCGCCAGAUGAGUGAUUGCCCGCAUGGGGUAAAAAAUACUAAUUUAGUUUUGGAUUAAAGACUUGAGGAAGCUUUAAUUGUGCCAUAAAUCCGAUAUGAAUUCCUAUCUCUGGUGCUUGUGAGUAACCUGAAAAUGUCUGACUUCUCUAUGCGACAUUCAAUUCAGACUCAGCACAGACCAGAAUUCUACAUUCCAGCUGCUUGGAUGAGGGAUGUCUCUGCUUAUUGUAUCAUUUCUGCAGCAUGCAUGCAUCCAUCCUACGUUGAUGGUUUGCUUACCCUGGGGCGAUGUCUGCAUUCUCCACUGAGUUGGCGGGCCACUCCAUGCUCGGAUGAUAGUGAUAGGGACCCAGCGAGGGGACCAAUUUCUCCAUCUCACUAAAUUUAUGCCCAUGCCCCGAUUCUUCAUAUAUACUUUUUUAAUGAUGGUUGACUUUACUGCACGACAUGACCCAUGUUUAUCAAAAAGUACGACGAGGGCUGUAUUUUCCCCCACCGCAAUUUAGUGGAUGCACUGGCCCGUUCAGGCCAAUUUUUUCGUUCAUGCUUUUUUACUCCAAUCUCUCUGGUGAAUAUGGCAGGGAAAAUGCGGAUGAGCGGGCCCACGCGUGACGAAAAUGGACAUCAUGAUUGAGGAAACGUCAGCUGUUUGCGGCCACAUCUUCUGCAAGCCUUGCAUCACUGCCGCGUGAAGCUUUCUCUAUCCAGGACAUUCACCGCAUCUACCUCCCUGGGUCAACUCCCUGACGUCACAACCUGAAGGAAUUCUGAAGGUUAAAGGUUCAGGUUGACCCGCCCAUCUUGGGAAAUGGCUCUGCCAUCGUGAGCGACAC